rnacentral:misc_RNA from 1 species
CACGGAGUAUUUUUUUCAUAUUUUUCCAAAAUUUUAAACAUAAACAGGGUAGAUAAGCUCCAACAGAAACUUUGUCAAAAAGGAACGGAGUGAAAAUUCUUCGUACUAACUGUUGCAUUGUACACUUUGUUGCUAAUAGCCAUCCUUUUCACUAUGUACAUAUAAAUGAGAUAAACUAGUCAAAAUACCAUAUGAGAAAAACAGGUUAGGUUUUUUUCCUGUACCUUGAACCCCUCCACUGACUCAAAAUUCUUCAAUAAAUAGCCAAAUCAGAACCUAGUUUGGUCUAGACAAGUAAACUGCAGAACUUCCAUCAGCUAAAUCCUGCAAACAUCCCCUUCUGCACUGCAACAACCAUGGGCCUAGAAAAGUAUAUCAUCAAAACCAUUAAAUUCCUAGUUUUCCAAGAUUUCAUGACUAAAUUCCUCGCCAUCUAUUACAUAUUAUAGGAGAACGAAGAAAAAUAAAGAGCGGGCAGUUGAGAGUGUCGGAUGGAAUAGAUUUUGGAGGGAAAAGUUGUUGGGGGUUUGUUGAAGAAUCAGUUGGAAUAACUGAAUGGGUUAAGUAGCAGUUAUGCUACUCUGUUAAAUAGAGAGAAACUCACUUGUAUUCAUUCAUUCUAUUGAUGAAUCAAUAACAGAUUUCUCUUCUCUGUCUGAUUCUAUUUUCUCUUCUCAUCAAAGUCUACUUCUCUUCUCAUCUCUUCUAUUUCUCCUAUUCCUAAAUUCUAUUUCAAUCUCUGCAUUCGGAGAUAGAUUUGAGCUGAUACCUAACAUCAUCCUACUCUUUGCGCAUUUUUUACUGGUCCCCAGACAGGUCCAACUCUUGUUGAUGACAGUUCCUACUCUGGUUGAUCACCAAGUCCAUCAUCCUCUUGCUUCUGUUGUUGUGACUCUUCUUCAACUAGUUGCAGUUCCAGUUGUUGACCAAAUUCAUCAUUUUCAUCGUUAUCGUCCAGCUUAAGCUAUUGAAAGUAUAAUUUUACCUUUUUCCAAAAUGUUAAUCAAAUUACAUGGAAAGAAAGUACAUUAAGUUGAAGCAUAAUUCAAAAAUUUUCUCAGCAUUUAGCCAUUUGAAAUAAGAAAAACUGUAACAGCAAACACAGAAUGAGACAAAUUUAAAAAUUCACCGAUAAUAGUCCCAUUAAAAAAAGGUCCUUCCUGAAAGCUUACAGAAGCAUUUCUAAGGGUGCAUAAAUUCAAAUAUGUGCAAUGAUCAGCAACUUUGCCAGGCAGCACUGACAAUGGUUUAUUCAGAAAUAUACACAAUCAUGUCAUGAACAGAUACAUAUCCUACAAUUGCUAGACUAGAGUGGGGGUGUGGUAUCCAAGGCAACAGCUUAGCUUAAAAUUGCAGCGGUUUUGUCAAGCCAACUCUUAAUAACAUAAAUCAUGGCAAUUAUCUUUAAAAAGUUAGUGGAGCUGGCUGUGCAUUUGAAGGGAUACAUAGAUUUCAUGUUUUAUAUUUUAUACCACAAGAACUUACCAAGUCCAUGUGGAUGAGCUGUUCAAUGCGAGUAUCAGCAAAUAACUUCUUAGGUGCAAGUUGCACUCAGGCAUUCUGCAAAUCUGUCAGUUGGUUCAGUGCCUGAGAAACAGAGCUCACAUUUAAAUCUACAAGCCGAAAGAGAAAGACAUUCUUCCCCAGCAUUCUGAUAAUCAAAACGGGUACUAAUUUUAUGCCCUGCUCUUUUGCAUCAAUGACAAGGUUCUUAAGUUUCUUCAGUUCUUCUGUUAGAAAAGACAAAAGAGAGAGAUUUUAAAAGGAGGCUUGAAUGGUUGAGUCUCAUAUUGGCAGUAGAGGCAUUAUAGCCCGCCUAGUCUCUGAGACAAAGGACCAGUGCUGGCCUUGUAAGCUGCGCACAAUAACACAUAAGGUAGCAAUGCAUAGACAGAAAAUAAAGAGAAAAUUUAGAUUGCAAACCUUCAACGUAAAAAGAAUGCACCAAAUAGUUUAUGGUUCGAGACUAUUAUCUGAAUUCACUCUCUCUAUGGCUAGAGUCUAAAGGGCUAUCAUUUUUUAUAGGACUUGCCAAAAAUCACAGGAGAAAGCAACGUGGACUGAAACUCAAAUAAGUUAACAAAAAGAACUUUAUAGCCUGAGAAUCAGAGCCCAGAAUUGCUACAUACCAAAAGAAGUAUUUUGGUUGAACAAUAUAUGGAAUUAAUUUCAUUAAUAAAAAAGAUAGAAAUGAGAAGUAUUUGCACAAAAGAAAAGCAGCCAACAGAGUGAUUUGCCAGUAAAAAUAAGGAAGAAAAGUCAAGCCAAAUACAAAAAAAGGGUCAAAAGAUGGCAUUGGCUGGGGUAAUAAAGGGAUGACUUGAUGGCCUAAAUUAUAAUAUAAAGCAACACAAACUAAACCACUGGGAGAGAAAAGGAAUUAAUUAUAUGGAAAUAUGAUGUUCAAGUGUUUAAUGUUUACCAACAAAUAAGAACCAAAAGUUAUCCCCAUCUUUUGUGAACCAGAGCCCACGCACAAAGUAACAGAUGGUUCAUCUUUGUGAUAAUAAAGUAGUCUGGAAAUUAGAAUUCCUAUGUCCAAGCAUCCAAACAAUUCUUUCCAAUGGUACAGGAGGUAACCUAAUGCUGAAUUAUAGAACUAAACCUACAAUCAUACAUAUGAUACUAUGACAAACAAAUCCUACAUCUAAAAUUCCAUUUUCACAACUGCAUUUGAAACUUCAGCAGAUCCAUACCGAAGCCAGUCCUUGGCACACACCAGCGCUUCUACUGUCUCCGGACGCAAGGAAGUCCGGUACUCAUCCAGCUCUUUGUUCACAGUAUCAAAUACAGAAUUUGGACCAGCUGUAGAUACUGGAAUGGUUAAAAUAUCUCGAGCCAUCUUUGAAAGAGUUGGGUAUUUCAGCUUGUUCAGUUUCCACCAACUUAAUACAUCAAACUCUUGCACACGGGGCAAUAAUGACUCUUCCAAGUACUGAUCCAGUUCUGACUUCAUCUGCUGGCUAGUAGUCUCCAUGAUGAACAUAUCAAAAUCUGUGAGUCCAUUGUCUGACAGGAGGGUUCCCUGGUGGUCCUCUGUCCUCAUGUUGUUCUCAGUAUUUCCUUCAUCAGCAUAAGUUGGAGUUAGAGGCAAAGGAAGGGCCACAUAUUCAAGAAAGAGCUCAUGGAUCCCAUCAUCAACAAUCUUGAUAUAUGUGGGUGCAUCUUCGCCAUAAAGUUUCGAAAAACUGAAUUCCACAAGCUUCAUUUUGAAGCGGGGAUCCAUGACUACAGCAAUUGCCAAAACCAGGCUGCAAUCCUUCCAAUAUUUGCUGAUCUUUUCUUGCAUUGCUUUGGUAAUAACACUGAUAAAAGGAUCCUCACUUGCAACAGCACGAGCCAGAUCAGUCUGGAUCUUCCAUACUUCAUGGAAGAAUGUAAUCGCGGUUGGGCUAUUUGUGGAGGAGGUAAGGAUGUUGGCUGCAUCAUGAAGAGGUCUCAAAUAAGCACAUACAGUCUCGACCUGCCUCCAGUGUUCCAUGGAUGGGGCCUCUUUGUAAUCAGGAUCAGAAGUGUCCAAGCAAGAAAAUACUUCUUUUAGCUCAGAUGCAGCUACCAGCAUCAGAUAUGUUGUGUUCCAUUGAGAUUGAUCAUCUAGAGAUAGACUUCUUUCACUGGGCACCUGAAGUUGUUCCUUAAGCUCAACAAACUUUUCCUCAUGCGAUUCUGAAGUCUUUACAUAUUUUACACUGUCUCGGAUUUUCUUAACAACAUCCCGCCCAGCCCAUAACACAUCCUUCGCAAUGCUGCUUAAAGUAUGUGCAAUGCAGUUCCCAAUCAAUAAUUGACCAUUGAGAAUAAGGGGAUUUUUUAUGCAAAGCAGGGAUCUAAGACUUUCAAGGCCAGGUUCACCCACUGGAUGAUUGUAUGUAACAGAAAAUAGCUUGCCUUCCAAACUCCAAUCAGAAAGGCAACAAGCAACAGAAUGGCUCAGAGCAGUAUCUGAAUCAGGAUACGGUUCCAUCACAACAUUGAGAAUCCGCCUAUGUGGCUUCCAAUCACUAUCAAUGAAGUGUCCAGUUACAAAAACAUACCCUAAACUUUGACUUGAUGUCCACGUGUCCAAUGUAAGACAAACACGUCCAGGCAUUCCCUCAAUAAACUUCAUUACAUUUUGUUUUUCCCUCAAGUAAGUUGCAACACAAUCACCUUGGACAGUAUUGAAGCUCACCAUGCCAAAUCGGGGCUGAAGAUUUUGAACAAAAGUUACGAACCCACUAUGUUCAACCAUGUGAAGUGGGUAGUCAUGCAUGAUGAUCAUCUUAGCAAUUUCAUGACGGCAACGGUCUGCAUCAAACGAAAUGUAGGGUGAGCUAGGAGAACGGUAGCGACGUUUCGGUGUAUCAGAUGCAGUGCCAUUUCCACUUCCUGGGGUAUAUUGAUUCCCUUGAUUGCGUAGUAGUGCUGGGCAGGUUCCCUUGGCAAUGUGACGUUUGAGAUGGCUGGUGCCAGCUACUUUGGAACCUGUGCUAUAAGCAAAACUUUGCUUGCACUGAUUACAGCACGCUCUUCUACAUCCAGGACUUACAGUUUCUAUUGUAAAGUGUUCCCAGACUAUGGACUUCUUUUUCCUCCGCUUGUUAGGUUGUGCCUCUGGAGUAACCAUUACCAGAGCAUUGUUCUCUUCAGGUGUUGCCAUCUUGGCUCCAAAUGUGAAUGCCUACAGUAGCGAAGACGCGAUCUCCGUGCGAAAAAGAAGCUCGGAGACCAAGUUCCGACGGCCUGAGGAAGAUCUAGGUUUGGCAGCGGCCGAGGAGAGAAAAGAGAGAUUUGGGCUUCGAUUUCGAACCAACCCGAGAAGCUAAUUGGACCUAACAAGGAAAAUUUGGUAGGACUUGUUUGGUUAAGAGAUAAGGGACCGGGGUGGUUUUUGCGGGCGGAAGAAUUUCAAAGCAACAAGAUCUAAGAAGAGCAUGUGAUUUUUGGACUCUCAGUCCAUUUUUUU